UAAGUCAGUCCAUUGUAUCGA
rnacentral:piRNA from 1 species